rnacentral:rRNA from 1 species
GACGAACGCUGGCGGCGUGCUUAACACAUGCAAGUCGAACGGAAAGGCCCAGCUUGCUGGGUACUCGAGUGGCGAACGGGUGAGUAACACGUGGGUGAUCUGCCCCUGACUUUGGGAUAAGCCUGGGAAACUGAGUCUAAUACCGGAUAUAACCUUACAUCGCACGGUGUGUGGUGGAAAGCUUUUGCGGUUGGGGAUGGGCCCGCGGCCUAUCAGCUUGUUGGUGGGGUAAUGGCGUACAAAGGCGAGGACGGGUAGCCGACCUGGGAGGGUGAUCGGCCACACGGGGAUGGGGACACGGCCCGGACGCCAACGGGAGGAAGCGGGGGGGAAUAUGGCACAAGGGGCGAAGGCCGGAUGCAGCGACGCCGGGUGGGGAAUGACGGCCUUCGGGUUGUAACCCUCUUUCACCAGGGACGAAGCGUGAGUGACGGUACCUGGAGAAGAAGCACCGGCAAACUACGU